UACGUAGGGGGCAAGCGUUGUCCGGAAUCAUUGGGCGUAAAGAGCGUGUAGGCGGCCGAGUAAGUCCGGUGUGAAAACUCGAGGCUUAACCUCGAGCUGUCGGCGGAAACCAUCUGGCUAGAGUCCGGAAGAGGAGAAUGGGAAUUCCCGGUGUAGCGGUGAAAUGCGCAGAUAUCGGGAAGAACACCCGUGGCGAAGGCGGUUCUCUGGGACGGUACUGACGCUGAGACGCGAAAGCGUGGGGAGCGAACAGG
rnacentral:rRNA from 1 species